UGUCCUGUGAAGGAAGGAGCAUGUAUGAAGUUAAAUGGAGUCUCCAAGAAUGGGUCAAGCUUCUGUCCUGAUUGUUUGCCCUGGGAUGUUCAUUGAGAUUAAGAGCGAAGAGAAAGAUAGUGAAUUGGACAAGCACAGAGACAUGUUCUCAGCCAUAUGAGGAAGGUGAAAACCGAUUUCAUAGAAGAAAGAACCUACCUCACACAGGAGGAGAUGAAGGAGUGUUUCUCCAGAGAGAGAUUCAGCUGAGCCUAGAGGAUCAGCCAACUGCCUCAGGAAAGUGGACACGGCAACUAAGAUGUGUGCUCUGGGAACCCCACUCAAGUCAUCUAGAAAAGCAGCAAGUAUUUUUCACUGCUGAGACAUCUGCAGCAAGCAAGGCCUGCUUCUUACCAUGUGCGAGAUUGGGUCCACAAGGCUCCGGCUGGCAGGAAGCAGCUAUCCACGACAGAUGCUUAACUGCUCAUACCGGGAUAGCAGGAGGAACCCCAAAGACCUGGCUGGAAGGAAGAGAGCCACCCCCCACCCCUUGCUUAAUUACUCAGUUGGGAACAAGCCACCUAGUACCACCAAGGCCCCGGCUGGUGGGAAGAGAGCUGCCAGGAGUCCACAAGACUCUAGCUGGAAGGAAUGAAACUAUCCCCGACUGAUGCUUAACUGCUCAUACCGGGGAUAGCAGGCAGGACCCCCAAAGAGAGCCACCCCCCAGCCGGGGAUAUUCAACAGGAAACCUGAAGACACCAGCUGGCAGUAAGAGAGCCACCCCUGCCAUGAUUAACUACUGAGAAAGGGAGAAGCCAACUGGGACAUCCAAGACCCCAGCUAGUGGGAACAGAGCAACCCGGGAUUCUAAAGGCUCCUGCUAGGGGGUAGAGAGCAACCAUGCCUGAAGCUUAACUGUUCAGACAGGGUCCAAGACCCGCAUAUUUCCAGUUGGUGGGAAGACAGUGAAGCAGUGUCCCCAAGGCCCUGUCUGGCAGCAUGUCAGCCACCCGGGGUCCUCAAGGCCCUGGUUGGAGAUUGACAACAUCAAGGAGAUCCUCAAGGCUUCACCUGACACGAAAACAGCUACCCUGCCUGAUGCUUAACUGCUCAGACAGGUGCCGGAACACCUAUGUCUCUGGGUGGCAGGAAGACACCCACCCUGGUUCCUCAAGGCCCUGUCUGGGGGGAUGUCAGCCACCGGGGUCUUCAAGGCCCUGGAUGGAGGAUGAAAGUACCCGAGAACCUCAAGGCUCUGGCUGAUGGGAAAACAGAUACCCUGCCUGAUGCUUAACAGUUCAGAGAGGUGCGGGGAUCCCCAUAACUCCGGGUGGUAGGAAGACAGCGACCUGGGAUCCUUGAGGCCCUGGCUAGCCUGAAAGCAGCCAACUGGGGGCCUCAAGACCCUGACUGGUGAGAUGCCACCUCCCAGGGUCCUCAAAUCUCCUCGAGAUGUUAAGACUUCUAGCACUGACUGAUGAUUAACUGCUCAGACCAGUCCUAGCCAGCAGAACUUCCUAGGCCCAGGCUGGAUGGAAGACUGCCACCCCAACCUGAGACUUAGUAUCUCAGACUCAGCCAGGCAAUGGGACACCCAAACCCCUUCAGAGAGGAAGGCACCCACCGUGGUCCACAAGGCUCCAGCUACUGAGAAGACAGCCAACCCUGCCUGAUGCUUAACUGUUCAAAAGGGUUCUAGCGCUUGUGAAACCCCAAGGCCCUGGCUGGUGAGGAGUGAGUCACCGCGGAUCCUCAAGGACCUGGCCGGUAGGAUGACUGCCACCUCCACCUGAUGCUUAACUGCUCAGACAAGGGCCAGGUGCCUGGGAACAUCAAGGCCUCCACUGUUGCCAUGACAGCCACUUAGGGUCCUCAUGGCCCAGGCUGAUGGGAUGACACAUACCAAGGGCCUUGAAGUCCUCAGCUGGGGGAGUGACUGCCACUCAGUGUCCUCAGAGCUGUAGCUGGUGGGAAGACAGGCACCCCCCACCUGAUGCUUAACCCGUAGCAAAUUCUCAGACAGACGCUAGCUGGCCUGAACACCCGAAGAACCUGGCUGGUGGGAUUCCAGACAGCCAUGCAUCAUGACUAACUGCUGCAUUGCCGGCUAGCCUUUGGGACCCCCGAGGCUCUGGCAGGCAGGAAGAGGCCACCCAUGGUCCUCAAGUCUUUGGGUGGCAAGAAGACAGCCUCCCCUGCCUGAUGGGUAACUGCUCAGACAGGGGUCAGCUCACUAUGGCCACCAAGGUGCCGGCUGGCAGGGAAACAGCCACCCUGCCUGAUGAUUAAUGUUCAGACAGGAGCAGGGAACCACAUUAUCAGCGUGUGGCAGGAAGACAGCCAACCCGGUUCCUCAAGGUUCUGGCUAGUCAGAAGACAGCUGCCCCACCUGAUGCUUUACUGCUCAGUAGGGUGCUGGCCGUUCAGGAACCCCAGGGCCCUGGCUGUCGGGAAGACAGCCACCUGGGGUCCUCAAGGCACUGGCUGGUGGGAUGACGCCCAACCAGGGUCCUCAAGGCUCCUCCUGAUGGAAAGACAGCCAGCCUUGUCUGAUGCUUAGCUGCUCAGAUGGGUGCUGGCCGUUCAGGAACCCCAAAAGCAUGGCUGUGGGGAGAGAGCCGGCCAGGGUCCUUAAGGCCCUGGGUGGUGACCUGCGAGCCACCCAGGGUACACAAGGACUUGGGCAGGAGGAUGACAGCCACCUCCACCUGAUGCUAAGGAACUACUCAAACAAGGGUGAGUUGACUGGGAACCCCAAGGUCCCCUUGAUGGGAUAACAGCCACUUAGUGUCCUCAUGGCCCAGGUUGUUGGAAUGAUAGCCACCCAGGUUCGUCAGUGUCACAGCAGGUAGAAUAACGGCCACUUGGAGUCCUAAGGGCUGUGGCUGGUGGGAAGACAGGCACCCCCCACCUGGGGCUUAACCCCUAGACACUGCUCAGACAGAUGCUAGCUGGCUUGAACCCCGAAGAACGCGGCUAGUGGGAUUCCAGCCAUUUAUCCGUCA